rnacentral:rRNA from 1 species
UGGGGAAUAUUGGGCAAUGGGGGCAACCCUGACCCAGCGACGCCGUGUGGGGGAAGACGGCCUUCGGGUUGUAAACCUCUUUUGUACGGGAAGAAGGAAGUGACGGUACUGUACGAAUAAGUCCCGGCUAACUACGUGCCAGCAGCCGCGGUAAUACGUAGGGGACGAGCGUUGUCCGGAAUUACUGGGCGUAAAGGGCGCGCAGGCUGUGCUGCAAGUCAGCUGUUAAAUGUUUGGGCUUAACCCGGGCAUGCGGUUGAGACUGCGGUGCUGGAGUGCUGUAGAGGCAAGUGGAAUUCCCAGUGUAGCGGUGAAAUGCGUAGAUAUUGGGAAGAACACCGGUGGCGAAGGCGACUUGCUGGGCAGCAACUGACGCUGAGGUGCGAAAGCCAGGGGAGCAAACGG